GCUACCUGUUACUUCUUUCAUCACAGACUUUAGUCUUCAGUUUCUGGACCAGGUGUUCUACUAGAUACAUCACUCUAUGAUCAAAUAAUUGUCAAGAUCAGCUUGUUCUUACAGUUAGUGUAAGAGGAAGAUUGAUAAUUGAAAAGUAGCAGAGAUAAUGGCCCAGAAUCAGUGACAGCUUUGGGCACCAAAAACCUCUGUUUAUGCACAGAAGAGAUACAGUACAGACAGUGGCAAUUCAAGCUUCCUCACAGUAACG